rnacentral:rRNA from 1 species
GGGAAUUUUGGACAAUGGGCGCAAGCCUGAUCCAGCAAUGCCGCGUGCAGGAAGAAGGCCUUCGGGUUGUAAACUGCUUUUGUACGGAACGAAAAGGCUCUGGUUAAUACCUGGGGCUCAUGACGGUACCGUAAGAAUAAGCACCGGCUAACUACGUGCC